GAGGUGAGAAGUGGCGAGACCACAGUUAA
rnacentral:piRNA from 1 species